GGGCGGUGUGUACAAGGGCAGGGACGUAAUCAAUGCGAGUUAAUGACUCACACUUACUGGGAAUUCCAAGUUCAUGUGAACAGUUUCAGUUCACAAUCCCAAGCAUGAAAGUGGUUCAGCGGUUUACCCGGACCUCUCGGUCUAGGAAAUACACGUUGAUACUUUCAUUGUAGCGCGCGUGCAGCCCAGGACAUCUAAGGGCAUUACAGACCUGUUAUUGCUCAAUCUCAUUAUUGCUAGACGCAAUUUGUCCAUUUAAGAAGCUAGUGUCCUUAUAAUGGGACAAACCAACAGGUACGGCUCCACUUGAAUAAACACAUUCAAACACUUAUACAUUUUACUGCAGUCAUGAAUGAAGGCUACACAAGCUUCAGCACCAUAAUCCUGAAAGCAUCUAUUUAAUAUAUUUGAGUCUCGUUCGUUAUCGGAAUUAACCAGACAAAUCACUCCACGAACUAAGAACGGCCAUGCACCACCACCCAUAGAUUCGAGAAAGAGCUAUCAAUCUGUCUUACACACUUAUGUUCGGACCUGGUAAGUUUUCCCGUGUUGAGUCAAAUUAAGCCGCAGGCUCCACUCCUGGUGGUGCCCUUCCGUCAAUUCCUUUAAGUUUCAGCUUUGCAACCAUACUUCCCCCGGAGCCCAAAAGCUUUGGUUUCCCGGGAAGCGACUGAGAGAGCCAUGAAAGUAGCUACACCCAAUUGCUAGCUGGCAUCGUUUAUGGUUAGAACUAGGGCGGUAUCUGAUCGCCUUCGAACCUCUAACUUUCGUUCUUGAUUAAUGAAAACAUCUUUGGCAAAUGCUUUCGCUUAAGUUAGUCUUACGACGGUCCAAGAAUUUCACCUCUCGCGUCGUAAUACUAAUGCCCCCAAACUGCUUCUGUUAAUCAUUACCUCUUGAUCUAAAAACCAAUGAAAGUAGAACAGAGGUCUUAUUUCAUUAUUCCAUGCACAAAAUAUUCAGGCAUUUGGAGCCUGCUUUAAGCACUCUAAUUUGUUCAAAGUAAUUGU
rnacentral:rRNA from 1 species